CAGCUGAAAGUCAAAUGGCUUUGUGUGCCUUUGAGAAGGGGACCUGUCCAGGUGAAGAAGCCAAUCACUGUAUCAAAGCCCCAGAGAAAAGAGUCACCUGGAUUGCAGCAUCGCGGACCUGUGGGAAGAGGUCAGCCAAACGUGAAAUCAGAGAGACCGAACACCCGCGACGGCCGUGGAAAUAAAGCUAAGGAUGAAAAAAGUAAGAAGAAUGCCCAGGAGGGUGCUGCUGAUGUGGAACAGAGGAAGUUUGAUGGCACAGGCUAUGACAGCGAUCUGGUGGAUGCACUGGAGAGGGACAUUGUGUCCCGGAAUCCCAAUAUCCAC